UCCGUGGAACGUGGGCCAAUGCUAGUCUCUCCAUUGCUCCUACCAAGGCUCCAGGAAAAGCUGCCAUCCUUGCUCAGCCAUUCUGCUAUCCUCACCUGACCAUCCACCCUUCAACGGUGAGAUUGCUCCUUCAAAAACCACCACCUGUCAGCCUCAGCCUCUGUUGGGGGGGCUCACCUCUCACUGGACAACCUCCAUUCCCUGCUGAGGAAAACUGGAGCAGCUGGAGUCAACAGGAACAUUUUUACCAUGACUGAGGGUUUUGGAACGUGCUGCUGGUUAUGGGUUGUUACCUACAGGUCUGAAAACAGUUUGGAACUGAUCCAGAUGAACUCACAAUCAGCUGCUCAGGACAACCUGAUGAGGUGGAUUUCCAGCUCUGCCAGCCUCUGCCAACAUAACUUUGGUGUCGUAACAUGUAAUCUCUCCUGUUUCUUGGGAAUCACCUCUGAUCUCCACCUGCUGCUGGAUCUGAUCCUGUCUUCACAAGGGUAACUAAACCCAGAGCUAGUUCCAGUAGGUGUCUCUGAUCCUUCAUCACCAGGUAAUGAACCCAGUGCUGUUUCUCUGAGGUUUCCCUGACUCCCUCAUCAGCAGGUGCCGUUACACCCAGAGCUGUUUCUCUGAGGUUUCUGUGAUCUUCUGACCACCAGGUGAUGUUAAACUCAGAGCUGUGUCUUCAAGGCUUGCCUGACUCCCUCAUCAGCAGGUGUUGGUACACCCAGAGCUGUGUCUCUCAGGUUUCUGUGAUCCUCUGACCACCAGAUGAUGUUAAACUCAGAGCUGUGUCUUCUACGGUCUUUCUUUAAUCUCUUUUUCAGAAGGUGACAAUGAACCCAGAGCUGUGUCUCUUAGGUUUCUCUGAUCUUCUGACCACCAGAUGAUGUUGAACAGCCCCAUGACUUCCUUAUUACUGUGAUUGUUUCAUUAUUAGUUGAUAUUAAACCCAGACCGUUGUGUCCCAGGUAUAUAUGAUCCUUUGACCAUCAGGUGAUGUUAAACCCAGAUCUGUGUCUUCAAGGUUUCUGUCCUCUGAAAUGUAUACAGACCUGAGCUCUCUGAGCCCCUCCUGUGAAACAUCAAACAUGGCCUCCUCUUAUUUUUGCAAGGGGGCAGGGUGUAUUGGGGGUAGAACUGCGAGCAGGGCACCUCUUCAUAUAAACAUCCCCCCACCCCUGUUCUCCCCCCACUGCGAGGCUGAUAAGAGAGGGGAGCAGUGGGAGGAAGGGGGAAGAAUCCUCCUCCUGCAGGAAUUCAAAGCAGCCUGGAUUUAAUUUGCAUUCGGGGAACGAUAGCGAAGCGCAAGGCAGCAGUUGGAGCGCCCUCAGUGAGGCGGCGUGCCCGGCAGCGCUGCCAGACAGGACAGUCUGGGGGCCACCUGGCCCUCGCUUUAAUCCGGCAAUAUUUCAUUUGGAGCAUCAGGAUUGUCCUCUGCCUUUGAUGUGCGUUUGUCCCGUGGACACAACAUUAAAGACUCUCCUUCAAGCUGGGGCAAAUUCAAAUACCGUUACCUUCUUCUAAGGAUUUCAAAUGUGCUUAAAUAUGCCCUUUAAUGGUAUAUUUUCCUCCAUCCAUCAGCUCAAUAAAUUAGUUCCCCCUGUGAGGAGAGGCCUCGGUGCUGCACGGUUCUGAUUGGCUGAGAGGAGGACCGGCUUCAAUUUUCUGUUGUUUCUUACUUUAAUGUGACGAAGGAGAGCUGGGAGAACUGAAACAGAACCUGAGUUCAGCUUUAUCAAUAAAUGUCUCUUAUAAAACAGUUUUUUAUUUAUUUAUGAAGGAUUUUAUAACAACUUCAGCUGCAACAUAGUGCAGCACAUGUAAAAUCAAGGACCAUUUAAAUCACAAAAAAAGGAAAGAACAAAAACAAGAAAAUCACUAAAACAAUAAGACAGAAUAAAAUAAAAUAAAAAGUCUCAGCUUCUGCCAAAUGCAAAGGAAUAAAAAUGUUUUUUAAAUAAGUUUUAAAAGUGGACAGUGAGGGGGCAUGUCUUAUAUGGAAAGGGAGAUCAUUCCAUAACCUGGGAGGCUCUUCUCCCUCUGAGCUUCCAUCUAAACCUCGCGACCUUCAGGAACAGCUGAUCAGCUGACCUGAGGAAUCAAGCAGGUGAAUAUGAGUGAAGCAGCUGAGAGAGGUAAGAUGGAGCAAGACCAUGUAAACUUUUAAAAACAUAUAAGAGAAUCUUAAAAUGAAAUAUAAAUUGCACAGGCAGCCAGUGGAGGGAAGCAACUCCAGUUAGAAGCUGAGCAGCUCCAUUCUGGACCAACUGGAGACAUUUCAGAGAGGACUGGCUGAAUUCAAGGUAGAGAGCAUUACAAUAGUCAAGCCAGAAUGGAAUGGCAUGAACUGCUGUUUCAAGGUUUGGGUUUCUUAUUUUAGUGGCACAUAUAUCUGACUGUCGUCAGCAUAACAAUGAAAAAAGAUCCUAUGCCUCCUAAGUAUUGAACCCAAAGGAAGCAGAUAAAGGUAAAAAAACAGGGACCUCAGACUGAGCCCUGUGGAACCCAAUGAGAUAGAGGAUCCACAGGGCUCAAUCUUAGGUCCCCUCUUACAUCAUCAUUUUUACAAUUUUCCUUUUCAAUUUGCUUGGGCUGUCCAAAAAUGUUACAUAUUUCUAAAAUAUAAUAAUGUUUUUAAAUCUUUACUAUUACGUGAGGAUGUUUUAGGUAUUGUAUUCAGUUAUUUUUUUCUUUAUAAAAACCCAGAGGUGAAAAAGUCUAAUAUGGGAUCACAUAAGGUAGCUAAACGCUCUGAGGGAGAGCGUGCUCUGCCUGUUAGUACAGGACUUACAGUGUAGCCUUAAAUGUCUGCUACUUUAACCCAGCACUUUUGGCAAAACACUGGAAACUAUCUGCACACAAAGGUUUGCCCAAACAACUGACUGCAUAUUGACUGCAUACAUGUUUCACCUGCACCAUAAAGUUUUAAAGCUCAGCAAAAACAUUUGAGGCAUAAUGACAGUCAUGCAUUAAAUCUGGAAUCAAUAUUAACAUUCGCUGAUAUGAUUAUAAUCAGAUCAUGAGGCAAUGCUGCAUCUAAAAAGCAGUUGAAAAGUUGAUAGAAAGAAUAAAUUUAAAUUAUUAUGAAUACAGUUAUAUAAUCUUAAAACUAAAAACGUCCAUUUUCUGUUAUGAUUUGGGAUUGUUUGGUUUUUGGUUUCUUG